GAGAGGAGGCGGGCAGGCUGGUGGGCUGGGCGGGCGGCGAGCGGCCGGGAGCGCGCGGUGGACUCGGCCGCGGCGAGUAGUUAGUUAGUUGUUGUUAGUCAGUGUCAGUUGCUCGGCGGCGGCGGCCGUGGUCAUCAGGAAGGGGACGGGACGGACGGCGAUGGUGGUCGCCGCGGCGGCGUGUGCGCCCCUCAGGUAUCUGCCCAAACUGGAACUUAUGCUGUAGACAUUUCUUUGUGGUUUAUCUAAAAACCAAAGUUGAAUUCUUUUAGAAGAAAGGAAAAACCUCUUGAGAUGUGACUGUUUCCAUCUAUCUUCUGCCUGCCAGGAAAAGAAUACUUGAGAUCCAUUUGUAAGGAAAGAAAAGGAAGCAACAACAUAAUGCCCAGAGUUGGAGCCAAUUAAACCAGUAAACAUGGCUAUCUUCAGAAACUAAGGAAUGAGAGGCAAGGAAGAAAGGACAUUCAUCUUGGAAAGACCCAAAGCACCUUGAAAUUUGGAAGGAAUGCUAUGCUAGCUGCUAAAACCACCUUUGUCACCACAAUGAAUGAAGUGCUUCAGAUUUAAACAAUUGAUCAUUCUUAGAAGAGCUGCUGUAACACAUAGGGGAAGUGAAAACUAACAGAUGAAAGUUUUGUCAUGCACUGAAAGAAAAGCAUUGUCUGUGAAGUUCUAUUUUUAAAAAUGUCUGCUUGUAACACCUUUACUGAACAUGUUUGGAAACCUGGUGAAUGCAAGAAUUGCUUUAAACCUAAAAGUUUGCACCAGCUUCCCCCAGACCCUGAGAAGGCACCCAUCACCCAUGGCAAUGUGAAAACUAAUGCCAAUCACAGUAACAACCACCGCAUCAGGAACACCGGCAAUUUCCGGCCUCCUGUGGCUAAAAAACCCACUAUAGCUGUGAAGCCCACUAUGAUAGUGGCAGAUGGGCAAAGUAUAUGUGGUGAGCUUAGCAUCCAAGAACACUGUGAGAACAAACCUGUCAUCAUAGGGUGGAACCGAAACAGAGCUGCCUUGAGUCAGAAACCACUUAACAAUAAUAAUGAAGACGAUGAAGGAAUUAGCCAUGUUCCUAAGCCUUAUGGCAAUAAUGAUAGUGCAAAGAAGAUGUCAAAUAACAAUAAUGGACUAACUGAAGUGUUAAAGGAGAUAGCAGGCUUGGAUACUGCCCCUCAGAUAAGAGGAAAUGAAACAAACUCCAGAGAAACAUUCUUGGGAAGAAUAAAUGAUUGCUAUAAACGAUCAUUGGAAAGAAAGCUUCCACCAAGUUGCAUGAUAGGUGGGAUAAAGGAAACUCAGGGCAAGCAUGUUAUUCUGAGUGGGAGCACAGAAGUGAUUAGUAACGAAGGGGGCCGGUUCUGUUACCCAGAGUUUUCCAGUGGCGAGGAGAGUGAAGAGGAUGUACUUUUCAGUAACAUGGAGGAGGAGCACGAGAGUUGGGAUGAGAGUGAUGAAGAGCUGUUGGCCAUGGAGAUUCGCAUGAGAGGGCAACCUCGCUUUGCCAACUUCAGAGCAAACACUUUGUCUCCUGUUCGAUUCUUUGUGGACAAAAAAUGGAAUACUAUCCCCCUGCGAAACAAGUCUCUGCAGAGAAUCUGUGCUGUGGACUAUGAUGACAGCUAUGAUGAAAUCCUGAAUGGUUAUGAGGAAAAUUCUGUGGUCUCUUAUGGACAAGGAAGCAUUCAGAGCAUGGUGUCAUCUGACUCCACAUCACCAGAUUCUUCUUUAACAGAAGAAUCACGUUCUGAGACAGCCAGUAGUUUAUCCCAGAAGAUUUGUAAUGGGGGAAUAUCUCCUGGUAACCCAGGAGAUUCUAACGACAUGAAGGAAAUUGAGCCCAAUUAUGAAAGUCCCUCUAGUAAUAAUCAGGAUAAAGAUUCAUCACAAGCUUCCAAAAGCUCAGUAAAAGUUCCAGAGACCCACAAAGCAGUCCUUGCUCUCCGAUUAGAAGAGAAAGAUGGCAAGAUUGCUGUACAAACUGAGAAGGAAGAAAGUAAAGCCUCUACAGAUGUUGCUGGGCAAGCAGUAACCAUAAACCUUGUCCCCACAGAAGAGCAAGCAAAACCUUACCGAGUUGUGAAUCUGGAACAGCCAUUGUGCAAGCCAUAUACUAUCGUGGAUGUGUCAGCAGCCAUGGCCAGUGAGCACCUCGAGGGCCCUGUUAACAGCCCCAAGACAAAAAGCUCAUCUUCUACUCCAAACUCUCCAGUUACAUCAUCUUCAUUGACACCAGGACAAAUAAGUGCCCAUUUCCAAAAAUCCAGUGCAAUUCGAUACCAAGAAGUAUGGACUUCUAGCACCAGUCCACGACAAAAGAUACCUAAAGUAGAACUAAUUACUAGUGGAACUGGACCAAAUGUUCCUCCAAGGAAAAACUGUCACAAAUCAGCACCUACAUCACCCACAGCUACAAACAUUUCCUCCAAAACCAUCCCUGUUAAGUCACCUAAUUUGUCUGAAAUAAAAUUUAAUAGUUAUAACAAUGCUGGUAUGCCACCUUUUCCAAUUAUCAUUCAUGACGAGCCAACUUAUGCUCGGAGUUCCAAAAAUGCUAUCAAAGUUCCCAUUGUUAUCAAUCCAAAUGCAUAUGACAAUCUAGCUAUCUACAAAAGUUUUCUGGGAACAAGUGGAGAACUCCCAGUGAAGGAAAAAACCACAAGUGUAAUAAGCCAUACUUAUGAAGAAAUAGAAACUGAAAGCAAAGUGCCUGAUAACACCACUAGCAAAACCACUGACUGUCUUCAAACUAAAGGGUUUUCAAACAGCACAGAGCAUAAAAGGGGCUCAGUGGCUCAGAAGGUUCAAGAGUUUAACAACUGUCUCAACAGAGGUCAGUCUUCACCACAGAGAAGCUAUAGUUCCAGCCACAGCUCCCCAGCAAAGAUCCAGAGAACCACUCAAGAGCCUAUGGCCAAAAUAGAAGGCACUCAGGAGUCUCAGAUGGUGGGCAGCAGCAGCACCAGAGAGAAAGCAAGCACAGUGCUUUCUCAGAUUGUGGCUUCAAUCCAACCCCCACAGUCUCCUCCAGAAACACCUCAAUCUGGCCCUAAAACUUGCAGUGUGGAAGAACUUUAUGCCAUUCCUCCAGAUGCUGAUGUUGCUAAGUGUACACCUAAGAGUACGCCAGUCCGGCCCAAAUCUCUCUUUACAUCUCAGCCUAGUGGUGAGGCUGAAGCACCUCAGACCACAGACAGUCCUACCACCAAAGUACAGAAAGACCCAUCCAUAAAGCCAGUCACCCCCUCUCCCUCCAAAUUAGUGACUAGCCCCCAGAGUGAGCCACCACCUCCCUUUCCCCCGCCACGCUCUACUUCUUCUCCUUACCAUGCAGGUAACCUUUUGCAGAGGCAUUUCACCAACUGGACCAAGCCAACCAGCCCUACCAGGUCAACAGAAGCUGAAUCAGUUUUGCACUCUGAAGGCAGCAGGCGGGCAGCUGAUGCAAAACCUAAGCGCUGGAUAUCAUUUAAAAGCUUCUUCCGCCGUCGGAAAACAGAUGAGGAGGAUGACAAAGAGAAAGAGCGAGAGAAAGGGAAACUGGUGGGCCUGGAUGGCACAGUCAUUCACAUGCUGCCUCCUCCUCCAGUUCAGCGCCAUCACUGGUUCACAGAGGCAAAAGGAGAGUCCAGUGAGAAACCAGCCAUUGUCUUCAUGUAUAGGUGCGACCCUGCUCAAGGCCAGCUCAGUGUGGAUCAGAGCAAGGCUAGGACAGACCAGGCAGCAGUCAUGGAGAAGGGUAGAGCAGAGAAUGCAUUACUACAGGACUCAGAGAAGAAGAAGAGGAGUCAUUCUUCUCCAUCACAGAUUCCUAAAAAUAUUCUCAGUCACAUGACCCAUGAAGUAACAGAGGAUUUUUCUCCUCGGGAUCCAAGAACUGUUGUUGGGAAGCAAGAUGGCGGGGGCUGCACUUCAGUCACAACAGCAUUGUCCCUACCUGAACUGGAAAGGGAAGAUGGAAAAGAAGACAUUUCAGAUCCUAUGGACCCGAACCCUUGUAGUGCAACAUACAGCAACUUAGGGCAAUCUAGAGCAGCCAUGAUACCUCCCAAGCAGCCACGACAGCCCAAGGGAGCUGUGGACGAUGCCAUCGCCUUUGGAGGGAAAACAGACCAAGAAGCACCCAAUGCUUCCCAGCCUACACCACCCCCACUGCCAAAGAAGAUGAUCAUAAGAGCCAAUACAGAGCCAAUCUCCAAGGACCUCCAAAAAUCCAUGGAAAGUAGUCUCUGUGUCAUGGCUAAUCCCACCUAUGAUAUCGACCCCAACUGGGAUGCCAGCAGUGCUGGUUCUUCCAUCAGCUAUGAACUCAAAGGACUGGACAUUGAGUCUUACGACUCCUUGGAAAGGCCUUUGCGCAAGGAGAGACCUGUCCCCUCAGCAGCAAACAGCAUUUCCAGCUUAACCACUCUCAGUAUUAAGGAUAGAUUUUCCAACAGCAUGGAAUCCCUCUCCAGCCGGCGUGGGCCCUCUUGCAGACAGGGCCGAGGCAUCCAGAAGCCGCAGAGACAAGCACUUUAUCGAGGACUUGAGAAUCGGGAGGAAGUAGUGGGUAAAAUCCGAAGCCUUCAUACAGAUGCCUUGAAGAAACUGGCUGUUAAAUGCGAAGACCUUUUCAUGGCUGGGCAGAAAGACCAGCUCCGUUUUGGAGUGGACAGCUGGUCAGACUUCAGGCUAACCAGUGACAAACCAUGUUGUGAGGCAGGUGAUGCUGUUUACUAUACUGCUUCAUAUGCAAAAGAUCCACUUAAUAACUAUGCAGUCAAGAUCUGUAAGAGCAAAGCUAAAGAAUCUCAGCAGUAUUAUCACAGCUUGGCUGUCCGGCAGAGUCUGGCUGUCCAUUUUAACAUUCAGCAGGACUGUGGUCAUUUCCUUGCUGAAGUCCCUAACCGUCUGCUUCCCUGGGAGGAUCCAGAUGACCCUGAAAAGGAUGAGGAUGACAUGGAAGAGACUGAAGAAGAAGCCAAAGGAGAAACGGAUGGGAAAAACCCAAAGCCCUGUUCUGAAGCAGCAUCAUCCCAGAAAGAGAAUCAGGGAGUCAUGAGCAAGAAGCAGAGGAGCCAUGUUGUGGUCAUCACCAGGGAGGUUCCAUGUCUUACUGUGGCUGAUUUUGUGCGAGACUCUCUGGCCCAGCAUGGGAAAAGCCCUGAUUUGUAUGAGAGGCAGGUAUGUCUGCUGCUCUUACAGCUAUGCUCUGGUCUUGAGCACCUCAAACCCUACCAUGUCACUCACUGCGAUCUACGCCUAGAGAACCUGCUACUUGUCCACUACCAGCCUGGGGGGACUGCCCAAGGCUUUGGGCCUGCAGAGCCCAGCCCCACCUCAUCUUAUCCCACUAGGCUUAUAGUGAGCAACUUCUCUCAGGCCAAGCAGAAGAGCCAUCUGGUGGACCCUGAGAUCCUCCGGGACCAGUCUCGCCUUGCUCCAGAGAUCAUAACAGCUACCCAGUAUAAAAAGUGUGAUGAGUUCCAGACAGGCAUCCUCAUCUAUGAGAUGCUGCACCUACCCAACCCCUUUGAUGAGAACCCAGAGCUGAAGGAGAGGGAAUACACACGAGCAGACCUGCCUCGCAUCCCAUUCCGCUCCCCCUACUCCCGGGGUCUGCAGCAGCUGGCCAGCUGCCUCCUGAAUCCCAACCCUUCUGAGCGGAUCCUCAUUUCAGACGCCAAAGGCAUCCUCCAGUGUCUGCUCUGGGGCCCCCGCGAAGAUCUCUUCCAGACUUUCACCGCCUGCCCUAGCCUAGUACAGAGGAAUACCCUGCUCCAAAACUGGCUAGACAUCAAGCGAACACUGCUCAUGAUCAAGUUUGCUGAGAAGUCCCUGGACAGGGAAGGUGGGAUCAACCUUGAGGACUGGCUUUGUGCUCAGUAUUUGGCUUUUGCCACUACAGACUCCCUCAGUUGUAUUGUGAAAAUUCUGCAGCACCGUUAACGUGUACCUGGAUGAUACUUUUACCACAUCUUCACCUUCUUCAUAUCACCCAUGCACUUCCCCUUCCUAGUGCUCACUCCAAAUUCAAGGAAAGAAGAAAGACAAACCUCUAUCCCUGUCCAUGAACAAGUGGGUCCAUUCAGAAAGGUUAUCCACUGCCCCAGAUUGAAUGAGAAGCUGAGUCUGUCUUAACUUUACAGAAAUUCAGCUGCACAAACUUGCGUUUGCCUUCCCUUGAAACACCUUCUAUCCUAAUAGUCCCAUAAAUGCAGGUAAAAAUGAAAAUCCAUAUUCUUGAAGGGACAGCUUCUUUGGUAUGAACUCAGUGAGCCAGUGAGCUGUGUCCGUUUCCUCCAUAAUUCUGGAUAUCACCUAUCUUUUUAGCACCAAGUAUUUAUUCUCACUAGCAGUAGACAGACUUAACCAGUCUCUACCAUGACCCAGUAGACUCUGACAACAGACUCUUCCUUUAAGGUGUCAACAACUGACUUACUAGGCAAAACUGCCAUCCUUAGCAUCAGCCCAGUUUUGGUUACCAGGGACUACAUCCUUUGUUCCAGGAGGCAGUAGAAAGAAAAGGAGAGAUCCCAUCCUUGGGUCAUAGACCCAUUUUCAUUGCCAUUAUCUGUAAGUAUGUGCACUGCAUGGAGGACAGCCCUAAUAGUCUCCCCUCUGCUGCCACUGCCUGAUUCUCCACUCUGUCCCCACUUGCCAGUGAAGUUUGGAUUUAUCAGCCACUUGUGGCCCAUUACAGAGCUGACCCAAGGUGGUGUCACCAAUGCCUCAGCAGGGUGGAGUGCAGUUCAGAGCUUAUAAAUAGCUGGCAGGGCACGAGGAGAUGAUUUUCUUGCAUGUGCAAUUCUCUAGGGGCCAUCAGGGAACAGAGUUUAAAGUACCCUUUGAUUACUGUCAGAACUGUCAGCAUUUGCAGUUUUCCCCGAGCAGUAAUUGGCCAGCUCCCUUCUAUCAGUAGCCAGUGUUAACUAGUUUACCAAAUGCUGUAAACAAUUGCCCUGAAUGAAAUAGCUGUCAGUGGAGCUCUAAGAUCUCCUUUAGAGGGCACAGUGAGGUGGGCUGUUGGGAUGGCCGUAGGCAGGGGAGAGGAAGAAGGCCACUGAUGAGACUGCUGACCUCCUCAGAAUGUUGACCUCUUCUAGAGAGACUGCCUCCCAGUGUAAGUGGCUCAUUGCUCCUUCUGACUCUCUCUAAAAUGGCUCUGGAGGACAGCUCACAGGAAUUCUGAUUGCUGAGGUGGGUGAUUGAGAGCUGUUCACCAUGUGUGCAGCCUGUGCUCCCCUCCUAUGGAUGUAUGUGCAAUUUUUGUAUGUAUUUUUUUAGCUGUAUAUUACAGUGUUUAUGUUGCAACUUCACCUGAAGCGAGUCUACAGAAACCUUCCCCCUUCUUCCCUUGGCACAUAUUUGCGCUAAGAGAUGAGCGUUCCUUCCACUGGGGGGGGGGUGUGUGUGUGUGUGUGUGUGUGUAUACACGUGUGCACCUGUGCUUGUUUUAUUCAAAACUGUGAGUAUGUGUUUACUUUAACCUUGAAAUCCCAAGAGUCACUCGAACAAUGUGUGUGUACACUUGUGUGCCCAUGUGUGCGUGCACACGCAUGCUGGAAGUAGAGGCCAGGCCUCUAGAGAAGCAACCUGUGGCAGGGUUGACAGACAUGUUCUCUGUGCCUAGUGAGUGAGUGAGGAGCCUUGAGGCCCCUCAUCUACCAGUACAGAGUUUCCUUAAAGCCAAGACUGAUUGUGCAGUAUUACUUACAUAGCACAUUAGUGGCCUUGGAAAUUUCUAAACUUUUAACAUUUUUAACAGCCUUUCAUGUGAUUCAUGUAUAUCAAAGAGGAUCAGGAAAGGAAAAUAAUGUAUUUUAUUGUGCUCUUAUUACUUUUUUAAGUGAUUGCAAUAUGUGAGGCUCUAUUUGGAGAAUGUCCUUACCCCCUGGCCAGCAAUAUAGGACUCACAGGAAAGAAGGCUGGUUAGCCCACAAAGAGUCUUGCCUCCUCUAGCCAGAGUGUAGGGCUCUCCUCCUAGGAAUGGCCAUGGAGUGGGCAUGCUGCUGCAGGCCAGCAGUCCGCUCUUGGUGUCCUGUGGCAUGGCCGCACCUUGCCUUGAAGGUUGGUGUUUGGUUCAUCUUAGCAUAGACCAUGUGCACAUAACUCCUUGCCUGAUUAUGCACUGAAGUGGCAGCACACAGACCACUGACCAUGUCAGCCAGCACAUUCCCUUAACCUCCCCCACCUCCCAUCUUGCAAUGGCUUGCAUAUUGAGAUAUACCUUCUCAAUGUCAUGUUCUUGGUGCCUUGCCCAUGUACAUUUGAAUGUUGACUAUUUAAUGAGGUUACAUAUUUAAUGCAGAAUGUUUCCUGGUCCCUCUAUUUGUUAUGUCUCUACUUAUCUUUUUUUUUCUUUCUCUUUUUCUGUUAUGAUUUGGAUCCAGUCUUCACUUUAACUCUAUGGUAUAAUAAGCAUGGACACCUCCACUACCAUUAUCUUACAGCACUGGUAAACUGAGCACCUCUUCACAUCAGAUGUUUUUAGUACUGUUUUUAUAUUCAGAUUUGUUAAGGGCAAAAGAUGAAUGCAAACUAGCCAGAGAAAAGCCUCAGGCUUCCCAGAGACAGGUGGCUAGAUUAAUUUUUCUCUGGGUGAUGGCCAAAGAAUGUGAGAUAGGGAAGGGGGUGUUACAGGUUAGAACAGAAUAGAGAAAGAAACUAUAUUUCUAGGCAAAAAAUACUACAUGAGUUGGUCUUCAGAAUAUUUUUCCAAAAAAAAUGAAAUUCAGUCAAUUUAACAUUAUCACAAAUAUUUUUCAUUUUAAUUGUGGUAGGAACUUUGAAUUUGUUCAUCAACUGGAAAGAAAUCCUACCCUCUGUAGACACGUACACACACAUUUUAUAUAUAUAUAUGUUUGAAUUUUGACUAGUAUAGCACUUUACGUUUUCUCAAGUAACAGGAAGUUAUUGCCUUCAAUAUUGAUUGGAAAUUGUUUUCUAUUGAAGUCUAUACUACAGAGUUUUCCAUUUAUAUUGAGAGUUUGAACAAUUAAGCUCCUAUUGGAACUUUUCCUUAAGCCACAUGAGCAUGAACAAUCUCUGUGACACUUGGGUGCUAGAGAAACACAACAGUGGCUAAAGUAGCCAAGAGCAAGACUGAAUGUAUAGCAGAGUGCCUUGUUAGAGUGAUAACUUAGUCUUGGAAGCAAUUCAGUGGAUGUUUCAUAAAGAGGACUAGAACUUCAAGAAGCCUCCUGUGCUGGCUGAGGUGAGCCCUUUUGGUAUAUGUACACUACUGGGUUGCCUAGAAGCCAAUUCAUGAAAAAUAACAGCAGGAUGAGAAAAAGAGUCACUGUAACCUGUGGAACAACAACAUAAGAAUCACCAACCCCUAGGCUGAGCUAGAACUGGAAGCCAGGAAUACGGCAAUGAGUUUCAAGAUUUGCCCUCAGAAGCUGAACUGGGUGAGGUAUGGGUUGGGGUGAGGGCACAAGCACUCAUCCUACCUACCCUGCUGCUGUUGAGGAGCUAGAAGUAAAACAUUGGUUAGGAUUUUAACAGUUGGAGUAGCCUCCCAUUAUCAGAUUAAGUGGGGGUCAGUUUUGCUUCUAAACUCAGAAUAAGUUUGUAAACAUGGGAAAGUCUAAGCCAAGAGAUCUAAAGCUCUAGAAAUAUUAAUGACAUUUCUGGGAGUAAAACUACCAAAAAUUAUAUCUUAAAAGUUUCUAGUAGUAUAAAGUUCCCAGGCCGGGCGCGGUGGCUCACGCCUGUAAUCCCAACACUUUAGGAGGGUGAGGUGAGCAGAUCACCUGAGGUCAGGAGUUUGAGACCAGCCUGGCCAACAUGGUGAAACCCCAUCCCUACUAAAAAUACAAAAAUUAGCCAGGCAUGGUGGCAGGCACCUGUAAUCUCAGCUACUUGGGAGGCUGAGGCUGAGGCAAGAGAAUCGCUUGAGCCCAGGAGGCAGAGGUUGCAGUGAGCCAGGAUCACGCCAUCGCACUCCAGCCUGGGAGAUAAGAGUGAGACUUCGUCUCAAAAAAAAGUUUCCAGGAAAGAUCUUUGGGUCCUACUAAGCGUCUCAAUUUUGAGUUAUGAAUACUUUGGUUCUGGGAAGUAACCUGACAUUUGGUUUUGCUGGAAUUAGGGUUUUCACUAGAUUUCACUGCAAUUAGGAUUUUCUUCUAGAUUUUACCAGCAGUGAUCUGAAAAAGUACAGGCUAGUCCCAGAAAUAGAGAUGGAUUUAGGAUACUACACUAUAUUUCAAAUGAUUCUAGAUGUGUAAAUAUAGUAUGAACAUUCUUGGAGAGGGGUGAGACAAACUGGACUUGCUGGGCCAACCCUGGCAUGUUUUUCAACCCUGGCAUGUAGUUGAUAAGGAUUGAAAAUUCUGCUCCAGCCUAAUGAGUGAACAGGAUGGCUGCCCACAAAACCAGGUUAUUAGUUUUACCUCAUUGAAGCUCAUAUUUUCAAAGGCCCAAAGUGCUGUGCCGAGACAAAUCCAAGUGCUGCUCUUGCCGAAGUGCGCACUGAAGUCCAGCUGUCCGUGCUUACAGCAGUGCCAAAAGUGGGGAUUCCAUGGACCAAAAACGGUGCCGUAAGGGAAGCCAGAAGAGUUGCGGUGCAAGAUCCUGGGAGAGAUUAUACCAAAGAAAUCAAGCCUUUUUAUCCUGAUGCUUCUAAGAUGAUGAGGUUCAUCUGCAUCUCGUUACUGGGCCGCAAGAAUAAGCAGCCUGACCCCCAGUUUGGUCCAGGAACACCCGGAGCCCUGAAAGGAUACAGGCCAGUGGAUGGUGGGACCAGUUCAGGAUUGCCCAAGCCAGACUCCAGGUGAGGUGGAACAAGGCCAGAAAAAACACUGAGUUUCUAUUCUUCAGUGGGAUCACUUUGUCCUUUGGUGUAACUGGAGAGCCUGGAGAUAAAUUAUCCUAUUCCCCUUCCCCAUCACAUCACCCAGCGUGGGAUUCAUUCCUGAGAAUUCCGUUAGUGGUCCUCAGUGACACCAUCCUGUCUGACUCUGGGUUGUCCAGAGGCGAUGGGCCACUGACAUUUGGAUGAGGCCUUUGGCAGCUCCAUGCCUGCAGAGUGUUGUCUUUCAACCUAAGCCACAGAGAAUCUUGAUUUCUUUCCUGCCCGGAGUGAAUUGGUGUGGGGAGCUCUCCGUUGCCUGGGGUUGUAAGUGUGUACCUUCUGCUCCAGGAACUCUUUGCCUCCUCUCCAAGGCCUAGCAAAUUAUGCUUCCUUUUAAGUGAGUUUGCACUCUCUUCUACAAGGGAAGGAACUUCAUUAGUGCCAUAGGAGCCAAGAACUGCAGUUGGCAGAUCACAAGUUGUUGUUAAGAGCAGCUCAAGGCAAUUACAGCUGAAACUUAAAAAUUGGAUUUCACACUGGGUGGGGGGGUAGGAGGGAAUUUGUUGCCAAGAUCCAGUUCUCUCAAAUUUGCAAACCUCUAAAAGGAAAUAGGCUUUUUGGACACAAACUGACUUCCUUGAGAUCCCAGAUAAACCUCUGUACAGGUAUGUGCACGGACACACACACACACACACACACACACACACACACACCAACUAAUGGCUCCCUUGCCCUCUGGGAGGUGCAUGGAAGCAACCAGAAAGCUGAGUGAUAAUGCUGUGAGGGCUUCUGAGGAAUCUGCAAUUAUAAGGACCAGGGUCCUCUAGAGAAGUAACUCUCAUGCAGGAAGUGGGAGGGGUAUAGGGACUUGGGUUUUCCCCACCAGGACCACCCAUUGCUCACCAGCUCACACUUGAGCUGGAGUCAAAGAUAGAGCAAAAAACUCCAAGCCUAUGGUUCAUCUUUGCCCUGGGAUGGGGGAUGGGAGGCAAAUUGUACCUCAGGUAAAGAGAAUGUGGAGGGAUAAAGUCACCAGGCCCCCCAGGGAGGGGCAAAGUUGAAUGCCUUGAAGAGCUGAGAUGCUUGUCUUCCAGGGUAAAGGAGUCUGUCUCUAGAAAGCCAGCCCUGGGGGUGCUUUCCCAUGAACUAGCUUAACAGCUUAAUUUUAUCUUCACAAUCUGGUGAGGUGGUUUCUAGAAUUAUCCCCAUUUUACUCAUGUGAAAACAAGCCAGAGAGCGUUUGUUUGCCCCAGAUCCUUAGUAAGGGAACUACGAUUUGUCCUCCAGCAGCCGUACUCCACCUCCCAGCUUCCUGGAGUGAGGGACAGUCCUCCCUCACUCUCUAGCUGUCACCCCAGUAUCAUCAGUGGCUUCUUGGUGUCCAGAGAAGAAAAAUCCAAUUGCUGAGUCUGUGUCCUCCACCUCUCAUGCUUAUUGCUGACUAAGUGUUGCAGCAGCCCCACUCUCCAGGCUGGCCUGGGAGACAUGCAUUGAAAUUCUCUGCGCCCGCAUCGUUCCUGUUCUUUUUCUCCCUGUUCUUCAGGGCCCCAUUCAGCCAAGAAGCUUUUGGGAUGAUAUCCAUCUGAAAUCACCAACUGACUCCCCAGCUUCAGCUCCUGGCCUGGUGUGUGUGUGUGUGUCUGUGUGUGCACCUCCCUUCUCGUGAGCUCCUCCAGGGAGGCCAUGGCUUUAGCUGCUCUGCCUGCUGUCCUUGGUGUCUGACUCAACUAACAGGAAGAGAGGAGGAAGAGAACCGCCCCUGGCUGCUCCACUGGUCCAGGCCCUGGUCCAGGCUUUCCCACACAUUAACCUCAUUUGAUCUCCACUACAGCCAUUUUACAGAUGAGGAAACUCAGAGUGGGUAAGAAACUUGCCUAAAGCUGCAUAGCUGGUAAGUGGUAGAGCUGAGAUUCAAACCUAGGCUUGAAGCCAGUUCUCCCCACCACCAUACGAGUCUUUGUCUAUUGGCUUGUUUUUGUGCCAGCGGAUAGGCCCAGGCCUAUGGGUGUUUGCUCCAACUGUGACAGACUGGGGUAGUCAAGGAGUGCUUCCUGAUGUGGGCAGAGAGUGUGAGUGAGAAGAAAGAGCUGGCUAGGCUGAGCAGUCAGAUCUGUAGCUUCCCUGUAGGGCCAGCACCUUUCCCUGUCAGACCUUCACUGAGCUCCUAUGGGAUCGCCAGGCCAACACAAGGCAUUGGCACUGGCCAUCUUUGAGACGUUUCCUCUCAAGGUCCCUGAGCAGACUUGCCUGUUUGCUCUUCAUCCUCCCUACAGAGGGGCCUCCCAGGACUGCUUCUGGAACCACAAAGGCAACUAAGUGGCCAACAGCUGCCACAGAGCAACUGACAACCUUCUUUUCCUUUUUGUCUUUUUCUUUCUUUUUGGCUAAUAAUCUGCUUUCCAUUCACCUACCCCCUCCACUCCCACCCUGUCAUGGUAAUCAGGGUUGUAAAGUCCUCAACCCCUAAGAGCUCCAUGCUUGAGCAAAUAUAUACAAGACAUACGCAUAUAGCUGUAGAGUUCCACUCUCUUACAGAAAUUAGAUCUUACUGUGUACAAUACUCUGCAAAUUGCUUUUCUUACUUAACAAUAUAUCAUUGGCCAGGCGUGGUGGCUCACGCAUAUAAUCCCAGCACUUUGGGAGGAUCGCUUGAGCUCAGAAGUUAGACCAGCCUGGGCAACAUGUUGAAACUCCAUCUCUACAAAAAAAUACAAAAAUUAGCCAGGUGUGAUAGCAUACUACUGUGGUCCCAGCUAUUCAGGAGGCUGAGGAGGGAGGAUCACUUGAGCCUAGGAGGUCGAGGCUGCAGUGAGCCAUGAACUGCACUCCAGCCUGGGGAACAAAGUGAGAUCCUGUCUCAAAACAAAAACAAAAACAAAAACAAAAAAAUCAUGGACACAGUAUUUCUUAAAAGGUAGCUUCUCGCACUAAAAAUAAUAGCAUUACAUAACAUACAUAUAUACAAAUUUUAUUAUUAUUAUUUCCACUUCUUCAGGCAUUCAGUCACAUAGGGAUGACUAAACAACAAAAUAUGAGAAACUACUAAGAAGUAUAAAAGGAGAUGCACAGAUACAGAGAUGAACUAUCAGGUUGUCUCAAAUUUUAGUGAAAUUUGAAUUUUAAAUCUCAAUGAGUUUUUUUUUCUGGAGUGAGAAACUUUACAAAAUGGUUUUCAGAGUCACUUGGAGGAAUGAAUAUAUGAAAGAAACCCAGAAAUUUUUGAAAUUGAGGGCAUAAUUGAGCAUAUGAAAAAGCUAUGAUCAAUAAAACAGUGUGAUACAGGUACAAGAAAAAACAGAUCAAUGUAAUAGAAUAGGUAACCUAAAAAUAGUAUCAGUAUGAAACUAGUAUAUGUAAUAUAGGAUAAGUAAGACAUCACUAUAUGAGAAGGGAAGGAAGUUUAUCCAAUAAACUGUGCUGGUACAAUUGGUUAGCUAUUUGAAAAAUGUUAAUCUGCAUACUAUAAGCUAAUACAAAUCCAAACAGAUCAAACAGAGUUACAUGCCACAAAGGAAAGAAAAGAAAAAUCUCAAGAACUAGAAAGAAUGCCAAGUCAAUGCAUGUUUUAUCUCUUGUUGAGAAAGGACUUUGUAAGCUAAGAGACAGUGGAAGGCGUCUGAAAGGGAAAGAUCAAUAGGUUUGACUAAAGGUGAUAAACCUUUGUCCACGGAAAACAGCAAAAACAAAAUCGAAAAGUAAAUAACCCAGAAAAAAGAUUUCAACACAUAUAACAUAGGGUUAAAAUUCUGAGUUAUAAAGAGCUGAUACAAAUCAUUAGGAACAUAAAACACUAAUAGGUGAGAACAGAGAAGUCACAGAAGAACCCAAAUGUUUAACCUUUCUAGAAACAAGGGAAAUAACCAAAGGUGGCAUAUCUAAAAAAAAUUUUAACAGCUUUUUCUGAUUGAUUAUAAAAAUAAUGCCUGUUUACAGUAGAACAUGUGGAAGGUAAAAUUGACCCACUAGGUCACCAUCUAGAAAUGACCACCAUUAACAUUUACUGUAUAUCCUGCAACUCCUGUUUACUCUGCCUUUUUCUUUUUAAAUUAAGAUCAUAUUGUUGGCAUCUCAUUUUCCACCUAUCAAAUUAACAAAGCUUUUUUUUAAAGCUUAUACUCCCUGCUGGUGACAGGGUAUACAGUUCAGUCAAUGUUGGUGCGAUUGAAUUGGAUGGAAAGGGGCUUGAUUCAUCCUGUCCUGGGGUGUUGGGCAAGGACCGACUCCAGUAGUCAGCAUGGUGGUGGGUAAUAGAGAUUUCACAUCUCCAAGGUCAAAGUGACAGAGUCACCAGGGAGCUUUUCGAAAGGAAAGACCACCCAAGUCCAGUGACUCCAAGACCCCCUCCUCCCCAGGGUCCUUCAGCUGUUCUGAGCUUGUAAGGGGCCUCUCUGCCUGAAUCUGGAUUUAGCUCCAGGUUCCACCUCUGACAAACUGUGUCCUCAGCCACUCUCUCAGCCUUGGUUUUGAUGGGGAUUCCUACCUCACAGGGUCAUUGUCAGGAUGAAAGGACACAGUCUAGCAAGUGUGUUUAGUCCACUGCCAGGCAAUAGUAAGUGCUCAAAUAUUGUUGAUCAAAAAGGCAAACUCUGAGUGGGUAUUUACUUUCUGUUUUUGUAACCAAGGACUCAUCAGGGGAUUUUUGCUGAACAAAGGUACUGUGAAUUCAAAUCUCAGCCUCAUAAGAAUCAGAAAACUGCUUGCAGCUUUUGAGUGGCAAUUUCUCCAGCUUUCCAAAUAUCUCCUGGCUGAAUUUCAGAAAGCCCGGUUGACAGUCGUUUCUCUGAACACCUCCUACCUGCCCAUGGUGACAUAGCACAUCAGAGGCAGAAAUGGGUUCAUGCCUCUGAAUCCAAGCCUGCCUUCCUCCCUACACAACCUGGACCCUUUAUUGGUGGAGAGUCAGGCACAGUGGUAAACUGACAAGGCACAGGGCUGCGAUGGGAAGUGGGGGGGUGAGGAUGAAAGCAGCUGUCGAGGGCCCCUCUAGCUCUGGGCCUGUGUGCUCUUUAGAGGGUGUCUGUGUCCCGAAGCACCCCCUCCAUCCCUCAGCAAGGGGCUGGCCCAGGCCCUCACCCUUCUUCAGAGCCCGCUGCCCACAUCAGAGCCCUCAUUUCGGCUCCCCUCAUGACACUGCCUUGCAUAAUAAAUGCUUCAGUUGAAUGUACUUUAUUUUGGGGAAAGUCAUUAAACUCCUUUUGUGGAAACAUUUUAAUUGAAUUAGAUUGUUUUCUGAUUGUAAUAAAUGUUAAUUAAUUGA